GACGAACGCUGACGGCGUGCUUAACACAUGCAAGUCGAACGGAAAGGCCCUGCUUUUGUGGGGUGCUCGAGUGGCGAACGGGUGAGUAACACGUGAGUAACCUGCCCUUGACUUUGGGAUAACUUCAGGAAGCUGGGGCUAAUACCGGAUAGGAGCUCCUGCUGCAUGGUGGGGGUUGGAAAGUUUCGGCGGUUGGGGAUGGACUCGCGGCUUAUCAGCUUGUUGGUGGGGUAGUGGCUUACCAAGGCUUUGACGGGUAGCCGGCCUGAGAGGGUGACCGGCCACAUUGGGACUGAGGUACGGCCCAGACUCCUACGGGAGGCAGCAGUGGGGAAUAUUGCACAAUGGGCGGAAGCCUGAUGCAGCAACGCCGCGUGCGGGAUGACGGCCUUCGGGUUGUAAACCGCUUUCGCCUGUGACGAAGCGUGAGUGACGGUAAUGGGUAAAGAAGCACCGGCUAACUACGUG
rnacentral:rRNA from 1 species